rnacentral:tRNA from 1 species
GGGGAUUUAGCUCAGUGGUAGAGCGCUUGCCCAGCAAGCACAAGGCCCUGGGUUCGAUCCUCAGCUCCA